AAAACCUCCAAUUUGAAGGUUCAAAUCAAGUCCAAAACGAAAAUCGAGCAUAGAUUAGUGAUCCCCAUUGCAAGGAGAUCAUAAGGAAAGGAUACCGGAGCGUCGAGCGGACAAGCCAGUGGUGACUCGCGUUUGAAGGGUUUGCUUUAAAGGUGACAUAAGGGGGACUUUCCGGAUGGCGAUCAAGUAAGUUUUUGAAGAACCGAACACAAUAUUUUGAAGCUUCCGUGUUAUCUUAACUUUGU